rnacentral:lncRNA from 1 species
GCUUCCCAGCUUCAACAUGCUCAACACUGUUCAACCAGCCACAUCCCCUCACUGCCGCCCCGUGUCCCGCCCCAGCCUCUGUGCAGGCUGGCCUGGCCCGGAACGCCCGGGCUCCUUGGCCACAGAACUUAGUCCUGCUCAGCCUAAGAGUCCAGUCCUGCCUCCCAGUCAGAACGCUGGCCCUCCUGAGCUCACAGAACACGAGGCUCCCAGGGCUGGGGGCACUGGAACAAGGCUUCUCCCUUUGGGAAUGGGGUGAGUUAAAUGAGGCCCUAGGUCCCCGGGUGCAGCAACUUCAGCCCUGACCCUGUCCCAGGCUGUGGGGCAAGAUGUGCUGGACCCUGAGUCCCCGGAUCUGAAGAGGACCGGCUAUGCUCAUAGGACGGGCUGAGCUCUGCGCGGGAAGGGGCUCCCUCCUCCCACCUCACCUCUCCAGAGUGUCCUGCUGUGGAAAUGGAGGCAGUGGUGAGGGCAGAGCCAAAGGCAUCAGGAAAGGCUGGGGUGUGGAGAAGGGGAACCACCCGCACACCUGAUGCUUAGGGGAGCGUGGGGUCCAAGGGGCCUCCGCUAGCGAUCUCCUGUGAUUCCAGCCCCGGGGGAAGAGCGGCAGGCUGGCCUCCCCACCGCCCCGCUCCCGCUGGGCUCCCGGGCUCCCUGUGGCUUUCCGUCCUGUUUCCUCACGCCGGCAGGAGCUGCCCCACCGGAGCAGGGCCUGGGCCAUGUAGCUCUCACCUCUCCUGCCACCGGCCAUGUGAACAGGGCCCUGGAGGUACCUGUGGAAAAUACUUGACCAGCGUGACUGCGAGCUUGAUGUAGGAGAAGCAGAAGAGAAACUGCAGCCACGUGGUCACUCCCACUGCAGCCACGAUCAUGGUGACAAAUGCGAAGAGCCACGCGAGCACCAGGAAGCCGAUGGCAGGCCAGGACACGCGCUGGCCACCGCGCUGGGGGCGAGAGGAGGGCAGAGAUGUGGACCCACACAGAGGCCACGCCGGGGCUGAGCAAGGACGGCCCCGGAUAGGGCGGGCUUAGAGAGGGGCACGGAGGCUGGACCCUGGCCUUGAAGGAGCCCCUGCAAGGGCCUCCUGUUCAGGCUGCUUGGACUCUCAAGCUCUGUCUGCUUUGUUCCUACUUGGCAGAACUGGGCGCCUCUCAGCACUCACUUGGAGACGUGGGGUCGGAACUCUGGUGGCCUGGUGCCUCUCCCAGCCAGGUACUGACUCGUCCCACGACCCGGCAGCAGCCUGAGGAUCUCAGGAAUCUGUCCCCUCGCCUUGCCUUUCCCUGAACACGGGCCCAAUGUGGGCCACCUUCACUCUCGCUUCACACC